rnacentral:rRNA from 1 species
AUUGAACGCUGGCGGCAGGCCUAACACAUGCAAGUCGAACGGUAACAGGAAGAAGCUUGCUUCUUUGCUGACGAGUGGCGGACGGGUGAGUAAUGUCUGGGAAACUGCCUGAUGGAGGGGGAUAACUACUGGAAACGGUAGCUAAUACCGCAUAACGUCGCAAGACCAAAGAGGGGGACCUUCGGGCCUCUUACCAUCGGAUGUGCCCAGAUGGGAUUAGCUAGUAGGUGGGGUAACGGCUCACCUAGGCGACGAUCCCUAGCUGGUCUGAGAGGAUGACCAGCCACACUGGAACUGAGACACGGUCCAGACUCCUACGGGAGGCAGCAGUGGGGAAUAUUGCACAAUGGGCGCAAGCCUGAUGCAGCCAUGCCGCGUGUAUGAAGAAGGCCUUCGGGUUGUAAAGUACUUUCAGCGGGGAGGAAGGGAGUAAAGUUAAUACCUUUGCUCAUUGACGUUACCCGCAGAAGAAGCACCGGCUAACUCCGUG